AAACAGAAAGUUCAAAGAGUUUUUGGGAAACAAAACCGAACAGCACAACACUUUCCAUUCCCUGCAGUGUAUGUCUGUCCUUUAUAGUAAAUGGCACAUGCAGCACAACGCAGGCACCUCUGGUGGGAUAUUUGUGUCGCUUGCCGAUUAGCUCACAAAAGGAGUCUGCACAGGAAAAAAGGCUGAAUGUAAAACAAUAGUUCAUUGUAACAAGCAGCGUAAGGGUUCUUUAGAGCCCGAAUAGCACGCGGAGUUCGGACUCUGCUGAUCAGCUAACAGCCACUGCCUCCUGAGAACACUUAGAGCUGCACAAGGGUUAAUUGCAAACACGCGGCUCGGUUCUGUGCGUUACAACGCAUCCGCAGGCUGCGGAUUGCCGUUCGCGCGCGCUCUUUGCUGCGCGAGCAUCCCGGGGCUGGCAGAAAUCCAGCGGGGCUGUGAAUUGAGCGGGGUCACGUGAGGGAGGGAGGAACCGGGCUGGCCCCCAGCCAGUGGAAGGCCGAUGGGUGGAACAAACGGGGCACGAAGAGAGAGAUAUGACUAACGGAUCCUGCGUGCGAGGUACCCGCGUCUGCAUCUACAAGAAUGUGGGCUCUGGCAGCGGUGCGGCUCCGCCAGCCUUUUGCAUGACACUGGAACUGCUGCUCACAAAGUAGAAUCCCGCUGCUCUGUGGUAGGAAGGAUAGAGAGAGAACAUGGCCUGCAUUUUGAAGUUGUGCUCGGCGGACAGAUACAGAGAGACUCCGCACCACACAGCUGUGCUCUGCUUCCCUCUGCCAUUCUUCUCCUCUCCCCGCAUUGUCAGCGCGCUGCCGGCCGGCAGGAAGGAGCUGUGCGCCGAGCGUAGGGGGUGAGGGGCUCUGGUUUGUCUCAGCUGACUUUGUGGGGCUGAAUUCCUUCAGGAGCUGUAGCAUUUGGCAGCAGACUCCCGCUACAAAGGACGGAACGGGGGAAGUGGUUUUCUGACUUUCUGACUGCAGCAUUUGCUGCUUUUAAAGCUAAGGCUGCAGACGUACACAGCUGCUCCGGUUGCUCCGUAAGCACGCGCUCCUCUGCUGAAUUCACCCGAGGUCCACAUGCCCCACACAACUACAUCUAGUAUUUAAUUGCGUUUGCUAUUGAUACUAUUCAAGGUCCUUCCCCUUCGCACCAACUUACCUUGUGGUCACAUGCCUUCCCCAGCUGCUUUCCUCAGAUAAGUGUUCAGAGCAGUGUGCCAUGGGGCAGGGGGUGCAGUGCCAGCGCCAGGCAAUGAACGAAUGGAGAGGAGG